rnacentral:rRNA from 1 species
UACGUAGGGUGCAAGCGUUGUCCGGAAUUAUUGGGCGUAAAGAGCGUGUAGGCGGCCCGAUUAGUCCGCUGUGAAAGUCCAGGGCUCAACCCUGGAAUGCCGGUGGAUACUGUCGGGCUAGAGUCCGGAAGGGGCGAGUGGAAUUCCUGGUGUAGCGGUGAAAUGCGCAGAUAUCAGGAGGAACACCAAUGGCGAAGGCAGGUCUCUGGGCCACUACUGACGCUGAGAAGCGAAAGCAUGGGGAGCGAACAGG